GAUGAACGCUGGCGGCGCGCCUAACACAUGCCAGUCGAACGAUUAAAGCACCUUCGGGUGUGUAUAAAGUGGCGAACGGCUGAGUAACACGUGGGCAACCUGCCCCUUUCAUUGGGAUAGCCACGGGAAACCGUGGAUAAUACCGAAUACUUCGAGACUUCCGCAUGGAAGACUCGAGAAAGCUCCGGCGGCGAGGGAUGGGCCCGCGGCCUGUUAGCUUGUUGGUGGGGUAACGGCCUACCAAGGCAAUGAUGGGUAGCUGGGUUGAGAGACCGACCAGCCAGAUUGGGACUGAGACACGGCCCAGACUCCUACAGGAGGCAGCAGUGGGGAAUCUUGCACAAUGGGCGAAAGCCUGAUGCAGCGACGUCGCGUGCGGGAUGAAGGCCUUCGGGUUGUAAACCGCUUUCAGCAGGGACGAGGCGAAAGUGACGGUACCUGCAGAAGAAGCCCCGGCUAACUACGUG
rnacentral:rRNA from 1 species